CGCGUAGGUGGCUUCAUAAGUCUGUGGUGAAAGCCCGGGGCUCAACCCCGGGUCUGCCGCGGAUACUGUGAGGCUCGAGUACUGUAGAGGCUGGUAGAAUGCCGGGUGUAGCGGUGGAAUGCGUAGAGAUCCGGCAGAAGACCGGUGGCGAAGGCGGCCAGCUGGGCAGUGACUGGCACUGAGGCGCGACAGCGUGGGGAGCAAACA
rnacentral:rRNA from 1 species